rnacentral:misc_RNA from 1 species
GAAAUGCGAUACUUGGUGUGAAUUGCAGAAUCCCGUGAACCAUCGAGUCUUUGAACGCAAGUUGCGCCCGAAGCCAUUAGGCCGAGGGCACGCCUGCCUGGGUGUCACACAUCGUUGGGAGCGUGCGUGCACGCAAAGGGUCGUCGAUGGGUCCAGAACUGACCGGCUCGCACGUGAUUGGUCUCGAGCGUGGCUCAUCCACCAUUUUAUCACGGCGAAGUCGGCCAUGAACCCAGAUUUCAACCAACCACGAGGCGGGUGCUCGCGGGAGGUCAGCAUACACCCCGCGCAG